UGUUGACAGGGGAGAUUGGUCCUUUAUAGUUCUAGACUUACAGAUAUGCUCAUAAACCAGAGAUCCCUUAACAGUAACAAUUACCAUUUCUUGAGCAUUGUGAUGGUCAAUUCACUUAUCUUCUCUGCCUCUCUGGGCUCUGCAAGCCUGACCUCUGUGGACUGCUUGAUCCAGGUUUGGAGCCCUCAGUUUCACCCAUGGAAGCCAUACACAAGAGAUCAGAAGGCAGGAAAACAGAGGAGGAAGAGGAUGCUUCUUGAUGUCUCUCUGAACAGAUUCACAAAAGAAGACAUAAUUUCAUGGAGCUUCUCUGAGACAAACAAAAGCACAGUCCAGGGACAUGCCACAUAGCAAGGAUUUUCCGGAGAGUUCUGAUACUGAUUUCCACCUACAGAAUUCCAAGAAUACUUUUGGAUAUGCAGUUUAUUUUCAAUUCAUUCAGUUCUUUCUGAAACUCACCUUCUUCCUCCACAUGCAAAAGACUCAACUAAUCCAGGCAUCUAAUAAAAGCUCAGUAAAUUCCUGCUGCUUAAGUCAAUUGAGCUGUUAAAGCUUCCAAGUACAAAUGAAGUGACCCUCGUCAAGCAACAGAGAAACAAAUUCUCCAGCAGCUAUUUCCUGUCUGACAGUUGGCGUGCUUCACUGACUGUAGUGUCAGCCUCGAAACCUUCAUCAUAAGUGUCAUUUGGUCUUAACUUUGCAAUAAGAAUUCCACCCAUGUGCCCAGGGCUCCUCUGGCAGCCUCUUCCGUCUCCACUGGCCAAUCGAGGUAACUUUCAACAGCUUGAUUCCUACAGCGCCUGGGCAUACUUCCAUGACAGCACUGUGCACACGAUGCUGAAAUGAUUGCUUUCCACAGAAAUCUCCCUCACCAAACUGUCAACUCCUGAGAAAUGACCCCAUCCAUCUCUGAGACCUGCAGUCCUAAUAGAGCGCAUUGCUCCAAAUUUGAAGGAGGAAGAAAGGAAAAGAGAGCAGAGGAAAGGAAAAGGGAAAAAAUAAGAGGGAGAAGGACAGAAUAUACACAAUCCAAUAAAUAUUUCUAGGUUCUG
ensembl:lncRNA